GGAUUACCUCAGUAACGGCGAGUGAAGCGGUAACAGCUCAAAUUUGAAAUCUGGCUCUUUCAGGGUCCGAGUUGUAAUUUGUAGAAGAUGCUUUGGGCAUUGCUCCGGUCUAAGUUCCUUGGAACAGGACGUCAUAGAGGGUGAGAAUCCCGUAUGUGACUGGUGGCAUUUGUCCGUGUAAAGCUCUUUCGACGAGUCGAGUUGUUUGGGAAUGCAGCUCAAAAUGGGUGGUAUAUUUCAUCUAAAGCUAAAUAUUGGCCAGAGACCGAUAGCGCACAAGUAGAGUGAUCGAAAGAUGAAAAGCACUUUGGAAAGAGAGUUAAACAGUACGUGAAAUUGUUGAAAGGGAAGCGCUUGCAACCAGACUUGCAGGUCGUUGAUCAUCCGGGGUUCUCCCCGGUGCACUCGGCGGCUUUCAGGCCAGCAUCGGUUUGAGUGGUGGGAUAAAGGCCUUGGGAAUGUGGCUCCUUUCGGGGAGUGUUAUAGCCCAAGGUGCAAUGCCGCCUAUUCGGACCGAGGACCGCGCUUCGGCUAGGAUGCUGGCGUAAUGGUUGUAAGCGACCCGUCUUGAAACACGGACCAAGGAGUCUAACAUCUAUGCGAGUGUUUGGGUGUCAAACCCAUACGCGUAAUUAACGUGAACGGAGGUAAGAACCCUUAAGGGUGCAUUAUCGACCGAUCCUGAUGUCUUCGGAUGGAUUUGAGUAAGAGCAUAGCUGUUGGGACCCGAAAGAUGGUGAACUAUGCCUGAAUAGGGUGAAGCCAGAGGAAACUCUGGUGGAGGCUCGCAGCGGUUCUGACGUGCAAAU
rnacentral:rRNA from 1 species